rnacentral:misc_RNA from 1 species
AUACUUCUCUGUGCUUCCCAGACAUUAUUUUGAUCUUUUCACGAGAAUACAGCCAUAUGUUACAAACAUGAGUUGCACGUAUAUGCAUGAGGUUUAUGUUAGCUGCUGAGAUUUUUUAUGAUGUAUAUAGUUAUACAUGUGUGUCUCUGUGUGUCUCUGCUUAUUUGUACACAUAUCACUUCACUUUAAACCCAAAACACACUGCUCAAAAUUUGACAGAAAACCUAAAUAAAGAUGAAUGUGGUAAAAGAAAUUAAAGUAAUG